UACCUCAAGGCUUGGUUCCUUCGGCUCUUAAAGUGUGAUUUUACUAGCAGCUGAGGUCCUUCCGUCUACCUGGUGAGACUGGUUUGGCCAGGAAUUGGCAACAGACCACUACAAGCUGGGCUGUUUUCCUCUCACCCUGCAAAUCAGUAUCUGGUCUAGGACAGACUGCUUCUGGUGACCAGUCAAAUGAAUCCACUCCAUGGAGCUCAGGAGUCACCCACCUGGGAGCAGUUGGCACUGGAGCAAUUGGGAGUCAAGAGGAAGCAUCAUCUCCUGCAGACUCUGUCUGUGCUGUUAGAUGAAGCAAAGUGGCUACAGCUCCCCCAAGAGAGGAGAAGGAAGAUGAGGGGUGAGAGGAGGAACACGUGUCUCCACCUACCUGCAUCCUUGGCAUCCUUCCCCAAGAGGGUGAAGAAAUGAUACUGUGGCCCUUCCAGUGUGUGCCAAGGUGACUUUGACCCCCCUGGUCCAGCUCUGCCAGGAACAUGGCCAAAGUGUGAUAUUCACGUGUGGAAACCUUCCAGGGCUCCCUGCUGUCGCCCGGAUGAGCUCAGAAUCGUUGAUACCCUGAGUUCAAGUCGCUCACGUUGACUUUUCCACCUUUCUCCAGCCUCACAGCCCACCUUUCCCAGAGUGUCUCUGCUCCCAAGAAACUGGUCUGUUUGUCAAGUCCCCAAAACACCCUGCCCAGUUUCACCUCUGUAGUCCCCUUUCCUGGAACACUCGUCUCUACUUUCUUCUUUGCCUGUCCAAACCCUGCCACCCUUCAAAGCCUCACGGAGUCCCCAGGA